rnacentral:lncRNA from 1 species
GCCAGACUAUCCAAGGCCGCGGGCUCUGUCUCCAGCACAGCGAUCAUCGGUGUUGGCCGAGGUGGGGUGGACGGCCCUGUCCCGCAAAUGUCCGUCCAUGGACCAUUCACCAGUUGCUGGAUGCUGGAGAUGCAGAUGAGGACCCAGGGUUGCUGGCUUCAUGGCCCUCAGAUGCUAGAGGGAAACACAGACAAUAAACAGGUGAACAAGGAAGCUACUAAUAAUAUCAUUGCAGUAGGUGAUAAAGAACAGGAGGAAAAUAAAGCAGUGCUUGUAGAGAGAGCCCUGUGGGGGGAUUUCCUGGUAAUCAAGCAAGGCCUUUCUGAGCCAUGA